ensembl:lncRNA
GGCAUGUUUUGACCUAUUUCGGGCCAUUUUCGUGUUGCUGGGGGGAUGAACUCUGAAUGACCUAUUAAAUAAAAGUGUAAUAUCUUUGACACCUAGCGAUACAAACGAUGAUUUUACCAGCACAAACCGACACAAACGGAGCACUAACCACCCAGUAUUUUUUCUGUUUUUCUUUUUCUCUCAGGUUGCUGGUUGUGGAAUUUGGAGCUGCAGAGAUUUGAGCUGUGCUCCAAAAGUGCAUGUUGAAGGUUAUCACCACAGUUCCACUGCUGUCCACAUUCAUGAGCAGUCUUGACCAGUACUCUGACCAGUUGAUGAAGAUUCUACGAAAAAAAGGAGGGGAAACAGCGCGGCGGAUCACAGCAGCAUUGUCUACAAUUUCACAGCACUCCUAUGCAACAACACUUUUCUUCCUUCUUUCGGGUGGUACACCACGCUAAAGCUGCAUUUUCCACGACCCAAUGUAUUGCAAUCAAUGUAAUUGGACUCAUAACUUAUAAUCUUUAUGGGAGUGAAUUGGUAAGCUUCUCAUUCUCUAACACAAAAUACUACUUGCUUGCAAAAAGCAUGUUUAAAAUUACUUAGAAACAAUUAUGAAUUGGUUAAACAACAAUAAAAAUUGACUUAAGUUCUGUGGGGGUCUCUAAAAACUUCAAAAAAGUAAUUGCGCUGCAUGUGUUGUUUUGUUUAGAGUUCCAGAAUCGAAGUGAAGCGUGAAUAUAUACCUGAAUGAGAACCCUGAAAAUCUCAUCAAAGAGUACAUGGAUUUCAACGUGAUGGAAGCUGAAGAGCUUGAGAGGAUGGAUUUGGCGUGUUUAUAAAAUAAUCCAUGAAGGAGCACAGCCUGAUGACUCCCUUGAAGAUGUUGGCAUCAUUAUCGAGAGAUGCACCGUCUUGCAGGAUCUUCACGAUGUGGCGAGCGGGUGUGCACUUUUGUUUGGGCUAAUUUACUGCCUCAAUCUGAGUUACCCAAAGCCACUUCGCUACACAUUUGAGUUCUUCCAGAAGGUGCUCAUGGGACUGGAAGACAAAAAACUGUCUAACAAAAUACAAGUGCUGAAGAACAAACUCUGCCAAAAGGAGACGCAAUGACUCUUUC